CUACGGGAGGCUCCAGUCGAGAAUCUUCCGCAAUGGGCGCAAGCCUGAUGGAGCAAUGCCGCGUGAGUGAUGAAGGCCUUCGGGUUGUAAAACUCUGUCAGAGGGGACGAAAUUUGACGGUACCCUCAGAGGAAGCCACGGCUAACUACGUGCCAGCAGCCGCGGUGAUACGUAGGUGGCGAGCGUUAUUCGGAUUUACUGGGCGUAAAGGGUUCGUAGGGGGUUUGCCAAGUCUGAUGUGAAAUUCCGCGGCUCAACCGCGGACGUGCAUUGGAUACUGUCGAACUAGAGUUCCUGAUGGGAAAGCGGAAUUCCAGGUGUAGCGGUGGAAUGCGUAGAUAUCUGGAAGAACACCGGUGGCGAAGGCGGCUUUCUGGCAGGAUACUGACCCUCAUGGACGAAAGCGUGGGUAGCGAACAGGAUUAGAUACCCUUGUAGUC
rnacentral:rRNA from 1 species